UGAACAACGGCCAUGUCUAUGGAAUUUGUCAGAAAAGUCAUAUAGUGACAAGUUUUUGAAACAGAAAGCAUGGCAAGAGGUUGCUGAGAAUUGUUUUGAAGAAUGGAACAAUUUGAACAACGAAGACAAAGAAAUGAAAAUACAAUUUCUGCUAAAAAAAUGGAAAGCCGUAAGAGAUUACUACAUGCGUGAAAAAAAAAAGAAAACGAUGAAAGAAGUGGUAGCGCAGCAAAGAAGAAGAAAGUUUGCCCGUAUUUUGAUUUAUUGCAGUUUCUAAAAGUUACCAAACUGUCAAGGAACUCAUUUUCAAAUGUAACUUCUCCUGAAAACACUGAUAACGAUGACAGUAAUAUAACUGGCAACAAUGACGAUGAAGAUCUUGAUGAACAAUUCAGAUCCACAGAAGCGGACUCACCACUGUAUCAACCGUCUACUAGCCAGCCAGCGUCAAUGCAAACACCUGUGUACCAAAACCAGCCGUCGACGUCAAAGCAGACAGUGUCAUCGCAACCAUCUGUAUCCGGAACCAAAAAUAAAAAACAAACACUGACACUGUUUCAAGAAUCUCUUCUCAAAAAGUUGAAUAAUGAUGAUAAGGAUCCUAAUCGAUAUUUUUUAUUAUCUUUUUUGCCGGAGAUGUCCAAAAUGACAGAGAAACAGAAUUUCGAAUUUCGCAUGGAAGUUAUGAAAGCAUUAAAUAAAGUCAAGUAUCAAAUUCCAGAACAGCACACACAAUCAAACUGGCCUCAUUUUUCAUCACCCUUUUCCGAUUCCCACAGCAACAGCAGUAAUCAAUACUACCCGACACCAGUAAAUAGAGGAUACACAACACAGGCCAAUGAAUAUCACUCCAAUGAAACAAAUGAAUAUGAUGAAACAUAGAACACUGUGCAGCUUGUUUGUUAAUCUUUAUACUUAAGUAAAAUAAUAAUUAAAAUACUUUAAAACUUACUUGAGUGUUAUUAUUAAUCUUUCCUCUGGGCUGAUGGCUAGUCUCAUAUUUGUGUCCGAUUUAGUAAUAAAAGGUUUUAUGUGAUGUAAUAAUUCUUGAAAAACAUGUAAUGGCAUAUGGUAGUAGUUUUUAAACAUAUCUGGAUUUGCACAUACACGUUCAUAUAAUAUAUGGAACUGUCCACAUAUCAGCCUCUCACUAUUGAGUGGGUUUACCCAGCUUCUUUUUCUGGUAUCAUCUUCUGAAUAAGUAUCUUCUGAAUAUGCUUCAUAAAUACACAAUAUUUUCAAUGGAUCCAUCGCACUUGACAACACAAACACCCUGUACCAACGCUCGGUAGUAACUGAAUAAAUUACGUCCGUCUGGCAGCUUAACAGAAAUUCAGUUGAACGUAAAAUAAGUUACCGAAAAUACGCGACUCACAACUCAUAAAAUUACGCUCGUUUGGCUUCAGCCUUA
rnacentral:lncRNA from 1 species